UGAUACCAUCUCGAACUCAGAAGUGAAACAUUUCCGCGCCAAUGAUAGUGUGAGGCUUCCUCAUGCGAAAGUAGGUCAUCGCCAGGGU
rnacentral:rRNA from 1 species